UCUCAGGUUGACCUCGGAUCAGGUAGGGAUACCCGCUGAACUUAAGCAUAUCAAUAAGCGGAGGAAAAGAAACCAACCGGGAUUGCCUCAGUAACGGCGAGUGAAGCGGCAAGAGCUCAAAUUUGAAAGCUGGCCCCUUCGGGGUCCGCGUUGUAAUUUGCAGAGGAUGCUUCGGGUGCGGCCCCUGUCUAAGUGCCCUGGAACGGGCCGUCAGAGAGGGUGA
rnacentral:rRNA from 1 species